UUCGCCACCCGACUGACGUAUAGAGAGAGAAUUUUGUUUAUCCCAGAGGAUACGUACAAACAAUUUUGCAAUUUAAUCUUUUUUUUUUUUCAAUUUAAAUUAAAGGUUUAAAGGUUUUUUCCACUCAAAACAAAAAAUAUUACUAUACAAACAUCACAGAGGAGACAGAUGUGAUGGCUGUUUCAGAAGAUCAAGAGAGUGAGAAGCCCAAAACACUGAUCCACAAGCUCCAAAGCUCAACGGGGAGCCCCUCAUAUGUCUACAUGAAAAACCAAGGUUGGCUGCUCUGUCUGUGAUCCCAUCCCUCAACUACAGUACUGUGCAUGUGAAACAAAGAACAGCUGCUCCUCUUCACAUCAUGCUUUGAAUGUAUGCACCAUUCCUCGGACAAAACCUCAGGAAGACGUCUGUCCCACAGGAACCAGGCUGACCACUGCCACCGGCACUUGACGAGCUUGUCAGCCACAUGAAGCAGGCCAGCCUCUUUUCUUAUCAUCAGGAAGUUGUCAGAUGUAAGGGAAGAGCAGUAAUGGGUCUUCUGUUGACUUUACAUCCUUGGAAAGUCCGCCUGGGCCUCACACCUGCUGUCCAUCCAGACGUUUGGAAUCUCUGCAUUGAUAGACAGGAUGCAAGAUCUGGAAAGUAUGCAGGCGGCCGAAGACCCUUAAAGGUGCACUCUGUGCGUCGAGGAAAUGGUCAGGAAUGUCAGCAUUGUUUGAAUGCCCAUGUUGUUAAUCAUCAAUAUAAACACCUGUAUACUUAAUAUAAUUCACAGGGCCUUUUAUUAAAGGUUUUUUUCCUUGUUUUGCCGGGACACUCAAAGCGGGAGAUCAUGAGGUCGCCUCUCCAUGAUAACCGGAGUGUAACACUCAUGGGUGGUUUUGGUUUAUGUAUUAAUUCAUUGCGGUCAGCUGACAGUGUGCUCUGAAGGGUAGUGUCACCGAGUGCACUGGCAGCUUGACAAGUGCCCCAUCUGACAGAGGCCAGACUGAAUGUCCUUGACAGUAGCAUAGCGCUGCCAGGAGUGCUUCAGUGGCAGCAGAAUACAUAAUUGGUGACACGAUGAGCAAAGAGGACACUUGACAGAAGUCCUGGGCUGGAGAGUGAAAGGCACACUGGCAGCCUUCACAAACUCAAAGACGUCUGAGCAGCUCAUGGUUGAUUGAGACUCGGUCUUGGUUUCUUGGUUCAAAGUACAGUUUAAUGGCUGUCAGCUAUAUGCUAUUAACCUCCUUAAAGGAUUUGUUUACUCAGUUAAAGUACGUCAUUAUUAGUUGAUUAACCCUCCCCAUUAGUGAACUAUUGCAGCUUAGUUUACAAAUUGUAUGAACCAGUGUUAUGAUGCUUUAGUCUGGAGCUUGAAAGCUUCUUGCAAGUUUUAGAAGGACGUUAUGACAGAAUUUUUACUUUUUGGGUCAACUGUCUCUUUAAAGAAAAAUGCAUCAAAAUAAUUACCAAGAGUUUGCAACUAAUAAUAUCUAUAAAUAUACUACAGUAUAGCUGAUAAUAUAUUAUCAAUCAUACUAGACCAACAUUUUGCUCAUGGUUUUGGAAAAACAAUCUCAUGGCAGUUUGUAACUAUUUUUUAUGAUAUGGCAAAUUAUUAAAGUUGUUCAAUGAAUUCAUAAAAACUCAUGUAUACAUUUCUGUACGACCUGCUUAUACCCCAUUAAGGGUUAGGUUUAGGAAUGGACCUUAAUGCUUAGUUUUGUUAUAAAAAAUUACAUUUUCGUAUAAAUCAAAUCAUACUAAUACAGAAUUUCCAACUCAUAAAUGCUUUUUUUGAUGAGAUGAGGUAAAAAAUAAUAAAAAAAAGAAAAUGUUCAAAUUAUUUUGUAGAAUAAAAUACAUAGUUGCUUACAUAUUCAAUUCUUAUUUGAAUUAAUUUAAUUAUUUUUAAUUAAUUUUAAACCUGGGUAGUGAAGGAAAAGCAGUCAAAAAGUAGCCAGCAUACAUUGAAAUUCUUUUAAUACAGAUUAAAAAGCAUCCCAGAUGGGAUCACUGCAUAUUUCUCAUACUUCCAUUUGUGUAACUUAAUAGAAUGAGAAAGUGUGUCCAAAAAUUUUUAGUCUGGUAGUGUAUACUGUUACAAAAUUGUUCUCACAUAUUUUUCCCUUUCUUGUCACACAUUAUUUUUCUUCCUUUCUUCUUGUGAGUCAUUCUGUUCAGGCUAGAGUGUUCUAUAAACUGUUACUGCACUUUUAUGUUUUAAGACCAGAAGAACAUAUUUUUCUUCUCAUAAAUUCCUGUGUUAACAUUCAGCACUUUAUUAAGCUCUUUUUCACCGUUCAUUUAUGUUUUGAAUCUGAUGUGAUUAUGAGAAAGGGGCUGAACGCAGCUCUCAUGAGAAAGAGAUGAAACAUGGAUCAAUUCAGUGACAGUUCCAAACUCAUCUUUUUGAUGAAGAGCUCCGUUAUGCUUUAGAAGUCCAGCUGUGGGAUUUUCAUGUCAUAAACACAGCAUAGUCAUUGCAGUUAGCUUCAGUGCAAAGACACAAGCUGCUGAAGAUCCAUUGGACUGGCUUUUUUUGUUUUUUUGUUUUUUUUGGGCCUAAAAUAUGCUCAUUCUGAGCAAUCGUAGAAUAGAUAUCUC